AAAGAUUAACCCAUGCAUGUUUAAGUAUAACCAAUUUAUACUGUGAAACUGGGAAUGGCUCAUUAAAUCAGUUAUCGUUUAUUUGAUAGUCCCUUACUACUUGGAUAACCGUGGUAAUUCUAGAGUUAAUCCAUGUUAAAAACCCCGACUUUUGGAGGGGUGUAUUUAUUAGAUAAAAAACCAAUGCCCUUGGGGGCUCCUUGGUGAUUCAUAAUAACUUAAGGAAUCCCAGGCCCUUGUCCCGGCGAUGGUUCAUUCAAAUUUUUGCCCUAUCAACUUUGGAUGGUUAGUUCUUGGCUAACCAUGGUUU
rnacentral:rRNA from 1 species